AACGAACGCUGGCGGCAUGCCUAACACAUGCAAGUCGAACGAGACCUUCGGGUCUAGUGGCGCACGGGUGCGUAACGCGUGGGAAUCUGCCCUUGGGUUCGGAAUAACAGUUGGAAACGACUGCUAAUACCGGAUGAUGACGUAAGUCCAAAGAUUUAUCGCCCAAGGAUGAGCCCGCGUAGGAUUAGCUAGUUGGUGAGGUAAAGGCUCACCAAGGCGACGAUCCUUAGCUGGUCUGAGAGGAUGAUCAGCCACACUGGGACUGAGACACGGCCCAGACUCCUACGGGAGGCAGCAGUGGGGAAUAUUGGACAAUGGGCGAAAGCCUGAUCCAGCAAUGCCGCGUGAGUGAUGAAGGCCUUAGGGUUGUAAAGCUCUUUUACCCGGGAUGAUAAUGACAGUACCGGGAGAAUAAGCUCCGGCUAACUCCGUGCCAGCAGCCGCGGUAAUACGGAGGGAGCUAGCGUUGUUCGGAAUUACUGGGCGUAAAGCGCACGUAGGCGGUUAUUCAAGUCAGAGGUGAAAGCCCGGGGCUCAACCCCGGAACUGCCUUUGAAACUAGAUGACUGGAAUCUUGGAGAGGUCAGUGGAAUUCCGAGUGUAGAGGUGAAAUUCGUAGAUAUUCGGAAGAACACCAGUGGCGAAGGCGACUGACUGGACAAGUAUUGACGCUGAGGUGCGAAAGCGUGGGGAGCAAACA
rnacentral:rRNA from 1 species